UAGGGAAUCUUCCGCAAUGGGCGAAAGCCUGACGGAGCAACGCCGCGUGAGUGAUGAAGGUCUUCGGAUCGUAAAACUCUGUUAUUAGGGAAGAACAAAUGUGUAAGUAACUAUGCACGUCUUGACGGUACCUAAUCAGAAAGCCACGGCUAACUACUUGCCAGCAGCCGCGGUAAGACGUAGGUGGCAAGCGUUAUCCGGAAUUAUUGGGCGUAAAGCGCGAGUAGGCGGUUUUUUAAGUCUGAUGUGAAAGCCCACGGCUCAACCGUGGAGGGUCAUUGGAAACUUGAAAACUUGUGUGCAGAAGCGGAAAGUGGAAUUCCAUGUGUCGCGGUGAAAUGCGCAGAGAUAUGGAGGAACACCAGUGGCGAAGGCGACUUACUGGUCUGUAACUGACGCUGAUGUGCGAAAGCGUGGGGAUCAAACAGG
rnacentral:rRNA from 1 species